GGUGCAAAUGAUGGUCAAUGCGAUCAAAGUAUGAAAAAGCGUGAUUCCAACUUUAUAAACCACUGAUGCACC